GUGAAAUACAAAACCUCCUAAAAAACUUUUUGGGGUGUGUUUACUUUAGAAGUUAUCAUCUACUCUGUUUAUUGACCUUUAAUCACACAGGAAGACACAGGAAUCUACUGUAGGCUCUCGCAGGAGAUAAUACAAUCUAAAUUAAAUUCACUGUGAAAUAAGGGAAGCUAAAAUAUUUAGCCUCCUUUUCAGGAAUUGUGUAGGGGGCUGUGUGAGUCUCUGUCGGGCGAUGUGCUUCAUAGACAGAAACAAAAUUGAUUUACCUCCAAAAUGGCAGAGAAAUGAGCUGUGAGACUGGAGGGGCAUGAUCUAUACACCAAAACUGCUUCAUUAAGGUAAAGUUGUAUUGGUGUUUAAAGUAUUUAUUUUUUAAAUAAUCUAACUGGUGUCUUGCAUUAGAGGUGCUAAAUAAUGGAGAUCUUAAUAAAGAAAUCAAAUGGCAAAUCCAUUCAGUGUUAUUUAUGAGCAUUCACACAAGGAAAUUCAAAGU